GAUGAACGCUGGCGGCGUGCUUAACACAUGCAAGUCGAACGGUGAAGCAGAGCUUGCUCUGUGGAUCAGUGGCGAACGGGUGAGUAACACGUGAGCAACCUGCCCCUGACUCUGGGAUAAGCGCUGGAAACGGCGUCUAAUACUGGAUACGAGCAAGAACCGCAUGGUUACUUGUUGGAAAGAUUUUUUGGUUGGGGAUGGGCUCGCGGCCUAUCAGCUUGUUGGUGAGGUAAUGGCUCACCAAGGCGUCGACGGGUAGCCGGCCUGAGAGGGUGACCGGCCACACUGGGACUGAGACACGGCCCAGACUCCUACGGGAGGCAGCAGUGGGGAAUAUUGCGCAAUGGGCGAAAGCCUGACGCAGCGACGCAGCGUGAGGGAUGAAGGCCUUCGGGUUGUAAACCUCUUUCAGCGGGGACGAAGCGAAAGUGACGGUACCCGCAGAAGGAGCACCGGCUAACUACGUGCCAGCCGCCGCAGUAAAAC
rnacentral:rRNA from 1 species